rnacentral:rRNA from 1 species
UACGGAGGGUGCAAGCGUUAUCCGGAUUCACUGGGUUUAAAGGGUGCGUAGGUGGGUUGGUAAGUCAGUGGUGAAAUCUCCAAGCUUAACUUGGAAACUGCCGUUGAUACUAUCAAUCUUGAAUCUCGUGGAGGUAAGCGGAAUAUGUCAUGUAGCGGUGAAAUGCUUAGAUAUGACAUAGAACACCGAUAGCGAAGGCAGCUUGCUACACGAGUAUUGACACUGAGGCACGAAAGCGUGGGGAUCAAACAGG